GCCGCGGCGCUUGAUGUACACCCUGUCAGAUGUCACUGAGCUGGAACUUGCUGACAUGGCUUUCAGCCGAUGUGGUUCUCGCCUGUAUACACUCUCUCGGG
rnacentral:SRP_RNA from 1 species